AUGGGUUUGGGGGAGGUGCCUGAAUAGGGUUUGAGGGUCUGUUUGAGUUGGGUGAAGAAGGCGGGAAGUUAAUCCUCUUCCAAUCAGCUCGCCGUCUCGCCCUCUGGCGGCUCCGGACCACAGGCCGAGUUACUCUGAUUACCGGCAUGCUCCAAGACCCGCACUGACAGUCCCCACGUGAGGGACCGCGGUGGGAGUCCUAAAUGGGGGAGGAGGGGACGGGCGGCACUGUGCAUCUGCUGUGCCUCGCGGCCUCCAGCGGGGUCCCCCUAUUCUGCAGGAGCAGUCGCGGCGGCGCCCCCGCCCGUCAGCAGCUCCCGUUCUCUGUCAUCGGUUCCCUCAAUGGAGUCCACAUGUUUGGGCAGAAUCUGGAGGUGCAGCUGAGCUCUGCGAGGACCGAGAACACGACUGUGGUGUGGAAAAGCUUCCAUGACAGCAUCACCCUCAUUGUUCUGUCAUCUGAGGUGGGCAUCUCUGAGCUGAGGCUGGAGAGACUACUCCAAAUGGUGUUUGGAGCCAUGGUCCUUCUUGUGGGACUUGAAGAACUGACCAAUAUCCGCAACGUGGAGAGACUGAAGAAGGACUUGAGGGCCAGUUAUUGCCUCAUCGACAGCUUCCUGGGGGACUCGGAGCUCAUUGGGGACCUGACCCAGUGUGUGGACUGCGUGAUUCCUCCAGAGGGGUCCCUCUUGCAGGUACUGGGGAUGCUAUGGAAACUCUUACACCUGUUCUGCUGGCCCUGGCUCAGUCCUCAUCCUCUUUCUUCUGGACCAUUGUCCCAACCUCCUCCUAUCCUCUCAGCUUCCAGUCCUAUCCCCACCUGGUCCCAGAAGAAUCUUUUUUCUUUUUUUUUUCUUUUCUUUCUUUUUUUUUCUUUUCUUUUUUCUUUUCUUUCUCUCUUUUCAUUUGAGACGUAGUUUCACUCUUGUUGCCCAGGCUGGAGUACAAUGGCACCAUCUCGGCUCACUGCAGCCUGCGCCUCCCGGGUUCAAGUAAUUCUCCUGCCUCAGCUUCCCGAGCAGCU
rnacentral:sRNA from 1 species